ACACAUGCAAGUCGAGCGGUAACAGGAGAAGCUUGCUUCUCGCUGACGAGCGGCGGACGGGUGAGUAAUACUUAGGAAUCUACCUAGUAGUGGGGGAUAGCACGGGGAAACUCGUAUUAAUACCGCAUACGACCUACGGGAGAAAGGGGGCAGUUUACUGCUCUCGCUAUUAGAUGAGCCUAAGUCGGAUUAGCUAGAUGGUGGGGUAAAGGCCUACCAUGGCGACGAUCUGUAGCUGGUCUGAGAGGAUGAUCAGCCACACCGGGACUGAGACACGGCCCGGACUCCUACGGGAGGCAGCAGUGGGGAAUAUUGGACAAUGGGGGAAACCCUGAUCCAGCCAUGCCGCGUGUGUGAAGAAGGCCUUUUGGUUGUAAAGCACUUUAAGCAGUGAAGAAGACUCCAUGGUUAAUACCCAUGGACGAUGACAUUAGCUGCAGAAUAAGCACCGGCUAACUCUGUGCCAGCAGCCGCGGUAAUACAGAGGGUGCAAGCGUUAAUCGGAAUUACUGGGCGUAAAGGGAGCGUAGGUGGCUCUAUAAGUCAGAUGUGAAAUCCCCGGGCUUAACCUGGGAACUGCAUCUGAAACUGUAGAGCUAGAGUAUGUGAGAGGAAGGUAGAAUUCCAGGUGUAGCGGUGAAAUGCGUAGAGAUCUGGAGGAAUACCGAUGGCGAAGGCAGCCUUCUGGCAUAAUACUGACACUGAGGCUCGAAAGCGUGGGUAGCAAACAGGAUUAGAUACCCUGGUAGUCCACGCCGUAAA
rnacentral:rRNA from 2 species